AUUGAACGCUGGCGGCAGGCUUAACACAUGCAAGUCGAGCGGGGAAGGGUAGCUUGCUACCUAACCUAGCGGCGGACGGGUGAGUAAUGCUUAGGAAUCUGCCAUUUAGUGGGGGACAACAUUCCGAAAGGAAUGCUAAUACCGCAUACGUCCUACGGGAGAAAGCAGGGGAUCUUCGGACCUUGCGCUAAAUGAUGAGCCUAAGUCGGAUUAGCUAGUUGGUGGGGUAAAGGCCUACCAAGGCGACGAUCUGUAGCGGGUCUGAGAGGAUGAUCCGGCACAAUGGGACUGAGACACGGCCCAGACUCCUACGGGAGGAAGCAGUGGGGAAUAUUGGACAAUGGGCGGAAGCCUGAUCCAGCCAUGCCGCGUGUGUGAAGAAGGCCUUAUGGUUGUAAAGCACUUUAAGCGAGGAGGAGGCUACUUAGAUUAAUACUCUAGGAUAGUGGACGUUACUCGCAGAAUAAGCACCGGCUAACUCUGUGCCAGCAGCCGCCGUAA
rnacentral:rRNA from 1 species